rnacentral:rRNA from 1 species
GACGAACGCUGGCGGCGUGCUUAGCACAUGCAAGUCGAACGGAAAGGCCCGGCUUGCCGGGUACUCGAGUGGCGAACGGGUGAGUAACACGUGGGUGAUCCGCCCUGCACUUCGGGAGAAGCCGGGGAAACUGGGGGUAUACCGGGUAGGAGCCAUGUUAGGUGUGAUGGUUGGAAAGUUUUUUGGGUGUGGGAUGGGUUGGGGGUCUGUGUGCUUGCUGGGGGGGUAUUGGUCUAGCAAGGGGGCGACGGGAAGCCGGCCUGAGAGGGUGGACGGCCACAUUGGGACUGAGAUACGGCCCAGACUCCUGCGGGAGGCAGCGGUGGGGAAUAUUGCGCAAUGGGCGGAAGCCUGAUGCAGCGACGCCGGGUGGGGGAUGACGGCCUUCGGGUUGUAAACGCCUUUCGCUAGGGACGAAGCUUUUUGUGACGGUACCUAGAUAAGAAGCACCGACUAACUACGUG